AACGAACGCUGGCGGCGUGCUUAACACAUGCAAGUCGAACGCGAAAGGGACUUCGGUCCUGAGUAAAGUGGCGCACGGGUGAGUAACGCGUAGAUAACCUGUCUUCAUGUCUGGAAUAAUACGCCGAAAGGGGUACUAAUACCGGAUAUUCUUGCUUUUCAUAAGUUAUGCAAGCAAAGGUGGCCUCUGCAUAUGCUACUGCAUGAAGGAGGGGUCUGCGUACCAUUAGCUAGUAGGUGGGGUAAUGGCCUACCUAGGCGACGAUGGUUAGCGGGUCUGAGAGGAUGAUCCGCCACACUGGCACUGGAACACGGGCCAGACUCCUACGGGAGGCAGCAGUGAGGAAUAUUGCGCAUGGGGGAAACCCUGACGCAGCGACGCCGCGUGAGUGAAGGAAGGCCUUCGGGUCGUAAAGCUCUGUCAAGAGGAAAGAAGUGUACAAUGGCUAAUACCUGUUGUAUUUGACGGUACCUCUAAAGGAAGCACCGGCUAACUCCGUGCCAGCAGCCGC
rnacentral:rRNA from 1 species